rnacentral:rRNA from 1 species
AACGAACGCUGGCGGCAGGCUUAACACAUGCAAGUCGAACGCCGUAGCAAUACGGAGUGGCAGACGGGUGAGUAACACGUGGGAACGUGCCCAAAGGUACGGAACAACUCCGGGAAACUGGAGCUAAUACCGUAUGUGCCCGAAAGGGGAAAGAUUUAGCGCCAUUGGAUGGGCCCGCGUCGGAUUAGCUAGUUGGUGAGGUAACGGCUCACCAAGGCGACGCUCCGUAGAUGGUCUGAGAGGAUGAUCAGCCACACUGGAACUGAGACACGGCCCAGACUCCUACGGGAGGCAGCAGUAGGGAAUAUUGGACAAUGGGCGCAAGCCUGAUCCAGCCAUGCCGCGUGAGUGACGAAGGCCUUCGGGUUGUAAAGCUCUUUUAGCGGGGACGAUAAUGACGGUACCCGCAGAAUAAGCUCCGGCUAACUUCGUGCCAGCAGCCGCCGUAAUAC